rnacentral:rRNA from 1 species
UACGAAGGGGGCUAGCGUUGCUCGGAUUUACUGGGCGUAAAGGGCGCGUAGGCGGACAGUUAAGUUGGGGGUGAAAGCCCGGGGCUCAACCUCGGAAUUGCCUUCAAUACUGACUGUCUUGAGUGUGAGAGAGGUGUGUGGAACUCCGAGUGUAGAGGUGAAAUUCGUAGAUAUUCGGAAGAACACCAGUGGCGAAGGCGACACACUGGCUCACUACUGACGCUGAGGCGCGAAAGCGUGGGGAGCAAACAGG